rnacentral:misc_RNA from 1 species
AAGUCGUAACAAGGUCUCCGUAGGUGAACCUGCGGAGGGAUCAUUAACACGUAUCCACGUAUCAACCAAAACGCGAACUUGGAAACACAAAAAUAUCUGAAUAAGAUCUUCGAGUGAAUCUAAUUCUCCCUAAAGUUGGAAACUGCAUUCAAAGACUUCUGUGAUGGGUAUCAAAUACGCUAUGCGUAUGAGAUACGGUUUUUGUUUGCUCGAGGUUCGACCUCAAUGUUUUCUUCUUUAGGCUAUUUUUACCAUUGCAGUACCAACCCCUUUCACAUUUUUAAUACCAAUUGACUAACCUUAUUUAACGAAAGUUAAAUAUGAUAUUCAAACUAAAAGCACAACUCUUAGCAAUGGAUAUCUUGGUUCUC